rnacentral:rRNA from 1 species
CAGUGGGGAAUUUUGGACAAUGGGCGCAAGCCUGAUCCAGCCAUGCCGCGUGCAGGAUGAAGGCCUUCGGGUUGUAAACUGCUUUGGUACGGAACGAAAAGACUCCUUCUAAUACAGGGGGUCCAUGACGGUACCGUAAGAAUAAGCACCGGCUAACUACGUGCC